CAAGUCGAGUGCGCGGUUGUAGCAAUACAACUGGCGCACGGCGCACGGGUGCGUAACACGUGGGUAACCUGCCCUUUGGUGGGGAAUAACUCCGCGAAAGCGGAGCUAAUUCCGCAUAAGAUCCGCAAGGAUGAAAGCCGCAAGGCGCUGAAGGAGGGGCCCGCGCCCGAUUAGCUAGUUGGUGAGGUAACGGCUCACCAAGGCUUUGAUCGGUAGCUGGUCUGAGAGGAUGAUCAGCCACACUGGAACUGAGACACGGUCCAGACUCCUACGGGAGGCAGCAGUGGGGAAUCUUGCACAAUGGGCGAAAGCCUGAUGCAGCGACGCCGCGUGGGGGAUGAAGCAUUUCGGUGUGUAAACCCCUUUCGAUCCGGACGAAACCCCGCAAGGGAUUGACGGUACGGAUAUAAGAAGCCCCGGCUAACUACGUGCCAGCAGCCGCGGUAAGACGUAGGGGGCCAGCGUUGUUCGGAAUUACUGGGUGUAAAGGGUUCGUAGGCGGUGUAGCAAGUCGGGAGUGAAAUCUCUGGGCUUAACCCAGAGGCUGCUUCCGAAACUGCUGUGCUUGAGUGUGGGAGAGGCGCGUGGAAUUGCAGGUGUAGCGGUGAAAUGCGUAGAUAUCUGCAGGAACACCCGUGGCGAAAGCGGCGCGCUGGACCACUACUGACGCUGAGGAACGAAAGCUAGGGGAGCAAACAGGAUUAGAUACCCUGGUAGUCCUAGCCCUAACGAUCAGGACUUGGGGUGCCACCCGUUCGGGUGUCGUCCCGGAGCUAACGCGUUAAGUCCUGCACCUGGG
rnacentral:rRNA from 1 species